CUUGCCCGCUGGCGGCAGGCCUAACACAUGCAAGUCGAACGAGUGGCGGACGGGUGAGUAAUGUAUGGGAAACUGCCCGAUGGAGGGGGAUAACUACUGGAAACGGUGGCUAAUACCGCAUACUAUCGGAUGUGCCCAUAUGGGAUUAGCUAGUUGGUGGGGUACCGGCUCACCAAGGCGACGAUCCCUAGCUGGUCUGAGAGGAUGACAAGCCACACUGGAACUGAGACACGGUCCAGACUCCUACGGGAGGCAGCAGUGGGGAAUAUUGCACAAUGGGCGCAAGCCUGAUGCAGCCAUGCCGCGUGUAUGAAGAAGGCCUUCGGGUUGUAAAGUACUUUCAGCGGGGAGGCGUUACCCGCAGAAGAAGCACCGGCUAACUCCGUGCCAGCAGCCGCGGUAAUUC
rnacentral:rRNA from 1 species